rnacentral:rRNA from 1 species
GAGACUCUGUGCGCGUGCAUAUCAAUAAGCGGAGGAAAAGAAACUAACUAGGAUUCCCUUAGUAACGGCGAGUGAAGCGGGAAGAGCUCAAAUUUGAAAUCUCCAAGGUUCUACCUUGACGAAUUGUAGUUUAUAAGAAGUGUUUUCUGUUAGUAGAGUUGGCUAAAAGUUCUUUGGAAUAGGACAUCAUAGAGGGUGAGAAUCCCGUAUUUGAUCAUUCUUUCUAGCUGUGUGAUACACUUUCAACGAGUCGGAUUGUUUGGGAAUGCAGUCCAAAAUGGGUGGUAAAUUUCAUCUAAAGCUAAAUAUUGGCGAGAGACCGAUAGCGAACAAGUACCGUGAGGGAAAGAUGAAAAGAACUUUGAAAAGAGAGUUAAACAGUACGUGAAAUUGUCAAAAGGGAAGCGUUUGACACCAGUGUUGUUUUCUCGAAAAUCAAUUACGAAUGUUUUGUUUUUGAGGAGUUAUGACUUCAUCGGCUUGCUUCUUUCUUUACGAAACUUUCUUAAUGCACUUUUCGGUUAACAAGUCAACAUCAAUUUCUUUUGUUGUAAAAGGGUACGAGGAAGGUGGCUUUCUUUUCGGAGAAAGUGUUUAUAGCCCUGUACCUCUGCAAUCGGAGAGAUUGAGGUCUGCAGCGUAGAUCCUUCGGGGUUAGAUACAUUUGUGCUAAGUUAUAGCUUUUCAUAGACAACUUGUUGACUAUGUUAGUCUUGUAGCUUACUCGCCUAUGCUAUUUUACCUACGCUUAGGAUGUUGACAGCAGUAUAGACUGU